UCUUGGUCAUUUAGAGGAAGUAAAAGUCGUAACAAGGUUUCCGUAGGUGAACCUGCGGAAGGAUCAUUAUCGUAUCAAACCGGGGUGCGUCCGGGUCGGCCCUGCACCGGCGGAAACGCCGUGCUGCGGGCCCCCGGCGUCCCUUCCACACCUAAACCCCUGUGCACCUYUUGGGAAGGCGGCGCGGAGACGUGCCGUCGGCCCCUUUCUCACAAGCUCUGUCUCAUGUAGAAUGCCCGCGGACAUCGUCCGUCUAAACAAAUAACAACUUUCAACAACGGAUCUCUUGGCUCUCGCAUCGAUGAAGAACGCAGCGAAAUGCGAUAAGUAAUGUGAAUUGCAGAAUUCAGUGAAUCAUCGAAUCUUUGAACGCACCUUGCGCCCUUUGGUAUUCCGAAGGGCAUGCCUGUUCGAGUGUCUUGAAUUCAUCGCGGCCCGAGGUUUCGCGCCUCGGGCCCGCGGAAGUGGGGGCCUGCCGCGGCGACGCGGCUCCCCUCAAAUGCAUCGGUGGGGUCUCCGGACAUCCCGGGCGUUGUAUUGUCCUCGUCCGACCAUGGGUUCCGGCUCCGACCCCGCCUCGACCGUUCCGUGCGAGCGGCGGUCAGUCUAAUGCUUUGAAAUCUGACCUCGAAUCAGGUAGGACUACCCGCUGAACUUAAGCAUAUCAAUAAGCGGAGGAAAAGAAACUAACAAGGAUUCCCCUAGUAACUGCGAGUGAAGCGGGAUGAGCUCAAAUUUGAAAUCUGGCGGUUCUGCCGUCCGAGUUGUAAUCUGGAGAAGCGUCUUCCGUGCCGGACCGUGUACAAGUCCCUUGGAACAGGGCGUCAUAGAGGGUGAGAAUCCCGUCUUUGACACGGACUCCCGGUGCUCUGCGAUGCGCUCUCGAAGAGUCGAGUUGUUUGGGAAUGCAGCUCAAAAYGGGUGGUAAAUUCCAUCUAAAGCUAAAUAUUGGCGAGAGACCGAUAGCGAACAAGUACCGUGAGGGAAAGAUGAAAAGCACUUUGGAAAGAGAGUAAAACAGUACGUGAAAUUGUUGAAAGGGAAACGCUUGAAGUCAGUCGCGUCUUCUGGGACUCAGCCUUGCUCUGCUCGGUGCACUUCCCAGUUCGACGGGUCAGCAUCGGCUCUGGUGGGCGGACAAAGGCGCGGGGAAGGUGGCAGCCUCGGCUGUGUUAUAGCCCCGCGUUACACGUCCACCGGGACCGAGGAAUCCGGCGCUCGCGCCCGGGAUGCUGGCGUAAUGGCUUUAAACGACCCGUCUUGAAACACGGACCAAGGAGUGCUACAUGCUCGCGAGUGUUUGGGUGGAAAACCCGAGCGCGAAAUGAAAGUGAAAGUCGAGACCCUUUGCGGGGGCACCGACGCCCGAGCCUGAUGUUUUCGGAAGGCCUUGCGGUAGAGCGAGUAUGUUGCGACCCGAAAGAUGGUGAACUAUUCCUGAGGAGGGCGAAGCCAGAGGAAACUCUGGUGGAGGCUCGUAGCGGUUCUGACGUGCAAAUCGAUCGCAGGACUUGGGUAUAGGGGCGAAAGACUAAUCGAACCAUCUAGUAGCUGGUUCCUGCCGAAGUUUCCCUCAGGAUAGCAGAAGCUCAGAUCAGAUUUAUGUGGUAAAGCGAAUGAUUAGAGGCCUUGGGGUUGAAACAACCUUAACCUAUUCUCAAACUUUAAAUAUGUAAGAACGAGCCGUCGCUUGGUUGGACCGCUCGACGAUUGAGAGCUUCUAGUGGGCCAUUUUUGGUAAGCAGAACUGGCGAUGCGGGAUGAACCGAUCGCGGGGUUAAGGUGCCGGAAUGCACGCUCAUCAGACACCACAAAAGGUGUUAGUUCAUCUAGACAGCAGGACGGUGGCCAUGGAAGUCGGAAUCCGCUAAGGAGUGUGUAACAACUCACCUGCCGAAUGAACUAGCCCUGAAAAUGGAUGGCGCUCAAGCGUGCUACCCAUACCCCGCCGUCAGCGUUGAAGUGACGCGCUGACGAGUAGGCAGGCGUGGAGGUCCGUGAAGAAGCCUAGGCAGUGAUGCUGGGUGAAACGGCCUCUAGUGCAGAUCUUG
rnacentral:rRNA from 1 species